rnacentral:rRNA from 1 species
CCUACGGGUGGCAGCAGUGGGGAAUAUUGGGCAAUGGAGGCAACUCUGACCCAUCAAAGCCGCGUGAAUGAUGAAGGUCUUCGGAUUGUAAAGCUUUUUUCUAAGGGAAGAAGAAAGUGACGGUACCUUAGGAAUAAGCCUAGGCUCACUACGUGCCAGCAGUCGCGGUAAUACGUAGGAGGCAAGCGUUAUCCGGAAUGACUGGGCGUAAAGGGUGCGUAGGUGGUUUGACAAGUUAGUAGCGCAACUCCGGAGCUCAACUUCGGAACUACUACUAACACUGUCGGACUUGAGUGCAGUGGGGGCAAUCGGAAUUCCUGGUGUAGCGGUGGAAUGCGUAGAUAUUAGGAGGAACACCAGUGGCGAAGGCGGAUUGCUAGACUGUAACUGACACUGAGGCACGAAAGUGUGGGUAGCAAACAGGAUUAGAUACCCCUGUAGUC